GACGAACGCUGGCGGCGUGCUUAACACAUGCAAGUCGAACGGAAAGGCCCUGCUUUUGUGGGGUGCUCGAGUGGCGAACGGGUGAGUAACACGUGAGUAACCUGCCCUUGACUUUGGGAUAACUUCAGGAAACUGGGGCUAAUACCGGAUAGGAGCUCCUGCUGCAUGGUGGGGGUUGGAAAGUUUCGGCGGUUGGGGAUGGACUCGCGGCUUAUCAGCUUGUUGGUGGGGUAGUGGCUUACCAAGGCUUUGACGGGUAGCCGGCCUGAGAGGGUGACCGGCCACAUUGGGACUAAGAUACGGCCCAGACUCCUACGGGAGGCAGCAGUGGGGAGUAUUGCACAAUGGGCGGGAGCCUGAUGCAGCAACGCCGCGUGCGGGAUGACGGCCUUCGGGUUGUAAACCGCUUUCGCCUGUGACGAAGCGUGAGUGACGGUAAUGGGUAAAGAAGCACCGGCUAACUACGUG
rnacentral:rRNA from 1 species